rnacentral:rRNA from 1 species
ACUCNUACGGGAGGCAGCAGUGGGGAAUAUUGGACAAUGGGCGCAAGCCUGAUCCAGCCAUGCCGCGUGUGUGAAGAAGGCCUUCGGGUUGUAAAGCACUUUCAGCGAGGAGGAAGGGUGGUGUGUUAAUAGCCAGCAUGCAUUUUGACCGUAACNCGCAGAAGAAGCUCCGUAU